GAUGAACGCUGGCGGCGUGCCUAAUACAUGCAAGUCGAGCGAACGGACGAGAAGCUUGCUUCUCUGAUGUUAGCGGCGGACGGGUGAGUAACACGUGGAUAACCUACCUAUAAGACUGGGAUAACUUCGGGAAACCGGAGCUAAUACCGGAUAAUAUUUUGAACCGCAUGGUUCAAAAGUGGAAGACGGUCUUGCCGUCACUUAUAGAUGGAUCCGCGCUGCGUUAGCUAGUUGGUAAGGUAACGGCUUACCAAGGCAACGAUGCAUAGCCGACCUGAGAGGGUGAUCGGCCACACUGGAACUGAGACACGGUCCAGACUACUACGGGAGGCAGCAGUAGGGAAUCUUAGACAAUGGGCGCAAGCCUGACCCAGCAACACCGCGUGGGUGAUGAAGGUCUUCGGAUUGUAAAACUCUGUUAUUCGGGAAGAACAUCUGUGUAAGAAGCCAUGCACGUAUUGACGGUACCUAAUAAGAAAGCCACGGCUAACUACGUG
rnacentral:rRNA from 1 species